rnacentral:lncRNA from 1 species
UGGGUCAAUGGUUGAAUCGUGAAAGCCUUGGUCGACACCCUCAAAAGACACGAGCGUAUGAGCAGCUCGUGUGGCAAGGCUUAGGCUAUGUCAUUUUCUCGAUUUGGUCUGUUUUGUCCCUUUUUGGCUCGUUUUUGGUUCCUUUUGACUCUUGAUGCUUCUUGAGUGCAAAACAUGAACUAACUGGAUUAAGAGCACCAAAAUUCAUAAAUCUAGUAAUAAACAUCCAUAAAUAUGCUAAGUAUUUGGGGUAAAAACAUGUAUAAUUUGUCG